GGAGAGAGAAAUAUCAAUGUGAGGAACAUCGAUCAGUAACCGUGAUCAAACCCACAACCUGGGUAUGUGCCCUGACUGGGAAUCAAACAGAGACUGGUGCACAGGAUGAAGCUCCAACCAAUUGAGCCACACUGGUCAGGGCUGCAUUCCUUUUCUAUGCAGCUCCUCAGCACAAUGCUCCAGGCAGCUCCAAGGAUUAGAGUUGGCAUGAGAGUUGACUUCUGAACCAUCUUUACUUUUACCUGUUUCUCAUUUCAGCUUUCUGGUCAGCAUUCUGGGCUGCUUAACAGAUUGACUGUUGUGACCCCUCAGGCAGAGAGGCCAGACCUGGUGAGCUAGAUCAUAGGGAUUGUUUCCUUGUGACCAUAGCAGCCCACAAGGACUCCCCUUCAAAGGCUGACAAGUUCUUACCCAGCUGGGAAACGAACUGAAGGAUGAGCCUGGAGCACUCAGAGGAUGCAGGGAUAGGUCAACAAUGAGCUGUGCCAUGCACCAAAGAUGGGCGCAGUCCUCUUGUCAAAGCUCCUGCGUCUCCCUACUAUUUACUUUCUUCCACCAGCCCAGGUCCCCUUUUUUACACCCUCCCCCCAUUCCACUAUUUCUCAUCACUCUCCACACACCUCUGGUAUCUCUGAAUCUCCCUCAGAGUUAUGAUGGCAUCUUACAUAAGGUGUUGGAACAGGUAGAUCCAUCUGGUCCAUAUUGGGUUGAAUGGAGGAUGAAGAACCGGCAGGGGACUGGUGGUGGAAGAGGCUCUGGGUAUUCUUUACAAAAGCAGAAAUGUAGCAGCCUACAAAGAAGUUGGAUAUCCUACAUAGAGUGUAUUACUCCUCUUCCCUGCAUCUGUGAGAUAGAAGCUUUUAGGUACCCAGAUAAGCACUGAGCUGAAUCCUCAUGCCAACAAGAGCCUGUGCCCCUCAUCCCUAACCCGCAGCCACAGUUCCUAUGAUUAUCUCCUUCCAGCAUUCCCUCCGUCUGCCUGGAAGGUGCCUGGCCAAGGGCUGAUCUAUGCCCAACACUUCCAGGCAUCCUGCUGCCUGCUUGAAGUCCUGUCCCAGACACUGGACUAUUCCUGGGAAAAGGGUGCAGAAAUCUCUAGAAGAGACUUUG